AUACGAAGGGUGCGAGCGUUAAUCGGAUUUACUGGGUUUAAAGGGUGCGUAGGCGGAUUGAUAAGUCAGAUGUGAAAGCCCCGGGCUCAACUUGGGAAUUGCAUUUGAUACUGUCAGUCUUGAGUAUAGUUGAGGUGGGCGGAAUGUAACGUGUAGCGGUGAAAUGCAUAGAUAUGUUACAGAACACCAAUUGCGAAGGCAGCUCGCUAAACUAUUACUGACGCUGAGGCACGAAAGCGUGGGGAGCAAACAGGAUUAGAAACCCUAGUAGUCC
rnacentral:rRNA from 1 species